UAGCAUCCCACUCCGUCGCCGCCGUUUCUUUCCUUCUUGACCGCCUGCCGCCACCACCUCCGGCGUCAUGGUCGAAGGUCCAUUCUUCCACUACGCGUACAGCCUCCCCGAUCGAUCAUCUCCGCUUAUUGCUGUCGCUGUGGCGCCGCCAGAUUCUUUGUUGGCAACCUCGCGCAGCCGCUUCCGGUGUUCUGGUCGAAGGCCGUUCUUCACGAACGCACGUGGUGUUCCUGAUCCGUUUGGCUGCGAGCUGGUUUGAAUAGUAGCGAGAGAAGAAUAUUGGAUGAUGGUCAAUCAAAUAUUUCAUAGCGAAGAACAAGGUUACGAGCAAUACAACAGUUAUGCGAAAGAAAA